rnacentral:rRNA from 1 species
UACGGGGGGGGCAAGCGUUGUUCGGAAUUACUGGGCGUAAAGGGCUCGUAGGCGGCCAACUAAGUCGGACGUGAAAUCCCUCAGCUUAACUGGGGAACUGCGUCCGAUACUGGAUGGCUUGGAUUUGGGAGAGGGAUGCGGAAUUCCAGGUGUAGCGGUGAAAUGCGUAGAUAUCUGGAGGAACACCGGUGGCGAAGGCGGCAUCCUGGACCAAUAUUGACGCUGAGGCGCGAAAGCUAGGGGAGCAAACGGG